rnacentral:rRNA from 1 species
UACGGGCUUUACAUAUCGGCGUAUCUACGGGAUAACUGUGGUAAUUCUGGAGCUAAUACAAGCAUUAUAUACGACAUUUCGGUGCCGUGCUGUUAUUAGAUUUCAAGGAGCGAUUUUCGUUACUUGGUGACUCUAAAUAACCCAGUGUAUCGUUGGUGUAUCACUAGCGAUACCGCUGAUUGGUGUCUGCCCUAUCAACUUGACGAUACGCUAACAGCGCUAUCGUGGUUGCAACGGGUAACGGAGAAUCAGGGUUCGACUCCGGAGAGGGAGCCUGAGAAACGGCUACCACGUCCAAGGAAGGCAGCAGGCGCGUAACUUAUCCACUACUUAUGGUGAGAUAGAGACUGAAGAUAAAGAGGUUGGCUCUUAUUAGGGCUGACUAUCUCAAUGAAUCAUGCUCAAACAGCAUGAUGAGAAGCAAGUGGAGGGCAAGUCUGGUGCCAGCAGCCGCGGUAAUUCCAGCU